GACGAACGCUGGCGGCGUGCUUAACACAUGCAAGUCGAACGGAAAGGCCCUGCUUUUGUGGGGUGCUCGAGUGGCGAACGGGUGAGUAACACGUGAGUAACCUGCCCUUGACUUUGGGAUAACUUCAGGAAACUGGGGCUAAUACCGGAUAGGAGCUCCUGCUGCAUGGUGGGGGUUGGAAAGUUUCGGCGGUUGGGGAUGGACUCGCGGCUUAUCAGCUUGUUGGUGGGGUAGUGGCUUACCAAGGCUUUGACGGGUAGCCGGCCUGAGAGGGUGACCGGCCACAGUGGGACUGAGAUACGGCCCAGACUCCUACGGGAGGCAGCGGUGGGAAAUAUUGCACAAUGGGCGGAAGCCUGAUGCAGCAACGCCGCGUGCGGGAUGACGGCCUUCGGGGUGUAAACCGCUUUCGCCUGUGACGAAGCGUGAGUGACGGUAAUGGGUAAAGAAGCACCGGCUAACUACGUG
rnacentral:rRNA from 1 species